rnacentral:lncRNA from 1 species
AGUAAACAAGGGCUAGUUACACAACCAGUGUUAGAAGGAUACUGAUAACAUGAUUGGUGUGUCUUGGACGACAGGGGAGUGAGGGAAUUUCCCUGGCCCUGCCCUGGUUUAUCAUAUGGUCACAUCGACGACCGAAUGGUCCAAUUAUUGGGGCAUCGGAGCCUCAGCAGAGCCACACAACCUGAAGCGGCUGCCUCCUCAGAUUGGAACAAGAAACGAACCCACUUGAAGGAGACAGGGACGGAGGGACCCUUCCCAGCCCAAUCCCAAUUGGUUCCCCCUUGAUUUCAUAUCAUCAUAUGCAAUGCACCUCGCAAUCAACGCCACACAGUACAACCGAUCGAGUACUGAAUCUGGUUUCUGCUCAAUGUCUUUUACAAACUGACAAAAACUUAGCAUGCAUUUCACAAAUAUUCUUCCUGUAGCAGUAGUACUAGGGGUGUUUGGAUACCCUGCUAAAUUUUAGCAUCUGUCACAUUGGAUGUUUGGAUACUAAUUAGGAGUAUUAAAUAUAGUCUAAUUACAAAACUAAUUGUACAGAUGGAGUCUAAUUCGCGAGACGAAUCUAUUAAACCUAAUUAGUCCAUAAUUUGAUAAUGUGGGGCUACAAUAACCAUUUGCUAAUGAUGGAUUAAUUAGCUUUAAUAGAUUCGUCUCGCGAAUUAGACUCCAUAUGUGCAAUUAGUUUUGUAAUUAGUUCAUGUUUAGUCCUCCUAAUUAGUAUCCGAACAUCCGAUGUGAUCCUACUAAAGUUUAGCACCUCGUAUCCAACAACCCCUUACGUGAAACUACCGAAAUAUCGACGACCUUACAUGAAACUGCCGAAAACCGGCAUGCCAUCGACGAAGAACACGAAGUUAGCAUAACAAAGACAACAACAGCAAGAUCGAACAGGCAGGAGGUGCCUGCAGCUGGUACAGGUUGCGGCAGCUGAGCCAAGCAGCCCGGCGUCUCGAGUCACAGCACUUUUAUUGCCCCGGCAGCGCCACCGCAACCGCAGAGAGCAGGAGGCGCGAUGCUGAGCUCCAGAUUGUUGAUGGCG